AGGCCGUUAACUCAGUUGGUAGAGUAGUUGACUCUUAAUCAAUCGGUCGCGGGUUCGAGCCCCGCACGGCCUACCA
rnacentral:tRNA from 4 species